rnacentral:rRNA from 1 species
AUUGAACGCUGGCGGCAGGCCUAACACAUGCAAGUCGAGCGGAGCGGCGGACGGGUGGGUAAUGAAUAGGAAUAUGCCUGGUCGUGGGGGAUAACGUCAGGAAACGGGCGCUAAUACCGCAUAGUAUCAGAUGAGACUAGGUCGGGUUAGCUAGUUGUGGGGGUAAAGGCCUAACAAGGCGACGAUCCGUAACUGGUCUGAGAGGAUGAUCAGUCACACUGGAACUGAGACACGGUCCAGACUCCUACGGGAGGCAGCAGUGGGGAAUAUUGGGCAAUGGGCGAAAGCCUGAUCCAGCCAUGCCGCGUGUGUGAUGAAGGUCUUCGGAUUGUAAAGCACUUUAAGUUGGGAAGCGUUACCAACACAAUAAGCACCGGCUAACUUCGUGCCAGCAGCCGCGGUAAUUC